GUAACUUUUUCUAGAGCAGAAGGAGGGGAGUCCACAUCCCAUAGUAUUGUCAGUAAAGGUGUGAAACUGAAUUGAAAACAAAGCACUGCAGAUUUGUUAGACUGAAGUUGAACUCUGAUCUGGGAAGAAAUCCCCAAUUAAUUGUAGUAAUAAAACGAGAGUAACUUUUGCUGUUGUUGACUUGGAGGCUGCCUUCCACCAAGUGUGUGUCUAUCAUGCAACCACUGAAUACAGUACCUAUGCCCAACCCAGCCCACUUACGGCACACAGUGAGAGAGAGAGAGGCAGAGACACAGGCAGAGGGAGAAGCAGG